UCCUGGGUUGUGACCUCAAUGAACUUUGGAUCUUGAGCAAACUGCAUCAGUCCUUCCGAAAUCAAGACCUUCAAAAGCAGCAGGUAUCAAGUUCUUCACAUGAUGCCAAGAGUCUGCCCUGGGGAGUCUGCAUAGUGCCCUGACAAGGCACUCCAAGUAUGUGCAAGGCUUUCACUGUCUGACUCAGAGGACUGUCCCAAGAGGCCUACAACACCACCAUCACUACAAUGUGACGUUAACUCAUGCUAAUGAAAGAACAGGAGGAGUUUUAGUGAGGUGAGACCCCCGAGUCCAAGCUCUUUUGCCUCUCUUACAUUGGAAGAUAAGUGACAACAAUCAAAAAGUGCCCCAGCUCUUUAACCAGUUUGCACAAGGUGAGGCUGCUUUGCUCUUCUUCCUUCCUCUGAUUGCUGUUUGAGCAGACAUUAUCUAAAACUUUUAACUUUGAGACCAUUGUAAAGGACGUGAUGAUGAUACCAUGUGAAGCACCAGAUUUCUAGGUAAGUGCAAACAUCAUUCAAUCCCUAGAAGAUAUUAUUCCUUCAAACAUUUUCACAUUGCUUUUAUGUGCCAUGUGCUGCAUAUGAGUAAUUGGGAUCAUUUUACACAAGAUGUCCUUAUUGCAUUCCAGCGCAGCACACUUUGGUGUGAACACCACUCAGCUACCUCUGUACCCUUGCAGUCAGCAAGCUUCUUACCUUCUGUCUUGAUCCUCAGUGCUGUUCUGACUAAUGCAAAGAGAGUGGCAUUGAACAUGACAGUCCCAUCACUGUUCAGUGGCAUAUUCAUGGAGACAAGACGCUGUGGAGUAAGAAGAAAGACAGCAAUGAUACUGCCAACACAUGGAUUGAAGCGUGCUCUUCCUUGUGCCCUCAUGAUGCCCUCCAGACCUGCCAUCCCUCUUAUGUGAACAUCCAUAGCCUGUGGAUUUAUUUACACAAUUAUAAAUAAGUGCUUGUCAUAUCCACUGAUGGUCCUGACUAUGAUGUGUUUACCAUGGGGUCUGUCUCACAUUGCUAUAAUAGAUACCCUGUUUUAUUCAAUGGGGCUAUCACUUUCUAACCUUUGUGUUGCCCAGCGGCCAGUGGGCAUUUGCCCACAGUGUAUUACGUGGACAGAGAUUUUUUCCAGUCCCCAAAACAUUUGGCUUUUAAAUGACACCUUUUAUUCUUAUCAGGAACAA